AAUAGUUCCAAGUCCCUUCCAUGGCAUAUCUGAAACUAUCUGCCCUUGGCUCACCCAGAAUUUGCCACUUAUGGACCUUCCUCUAGGAAAACCAAGGGUGAGGGGGAGCAAAAUCAGAAGAGCCUGACCAUUUGGACCCUAUUAAAGCAAAUUUACCCAUCCUGAUGGUGCAUUAGAACCACCUGGGACCUUCGGAACUGCUGACACUUUGGACCCCACCUGGAUCGUCACUGGAGAAUCCCUGAAGGGAACCCCCUCAGCAUCAUGAAAGGUCAGUGAGUUCUAAUUUACAGCCCAGGAAUGAGUCCAUUACAAAAUCCCCACCUCCCUGGAGCACAGUGAGGAGGGGUGGGGGAUGGGGAGAAGACUAAGGAGGCCCCCCCCCACCCCCCGCUCUCAGCUGCAGCUCAUGGCAAAAUGCACGCUAUUCCUCUAUGGGAAUAGAGCUCUACCAGGCUGCUCGUUGGAAUAAACUAAAGAACUUUUUACAAAUA